UGGGGAAUCUUGGACAAUGGGCGCAAGCCUGAUCCAGCCAUGCCGCGUGAGUGAAGAAGGCCUUCGGGUUGUAAAGCUCUUUUACCAGGGACGAUAAUGACGGUACCUGGAGAAUAAGCCCCGGCAAACUACGUGCCGGCAGCCGCGGUAAUACGUAGGGUGCGAGCGUUAAUCGGAAUUACUGGGCGUAAAGUGUGCGCAGGCGGCUUCGCAAGUCGAGUGUGAAAUCCCCGGGCUUAACUUGGGAACGGCGCUCGAAACUACGGAGCUCGAGUAUGGCAGAGGGAGGUGGAAUUCCACGUGUAGCGGUGAAAUGCGUAGAGAUGUGGAGGAACACCAAUGGCGAAGGCAGCCUCCUGGGCCAAUACUGACGCUCAUGCACGAAAGCGUGGGGAGCAAACAGGAUUAGAUACCCACGUAGUCCCUG
rnacentral:rRNA from 1 species